rnacentral:rRNA from 1 species
AACGAACGCUGGCGGCAUGCCUAACACAUGCAAGUCGAACGAGACCUUCGGGUCUAGUGGCGCCCGGGUGCGUAACGCGUGGGAACCUGCCCUUAGGUUCGGCAUAACUCCCCGAAAGGGGUGCUAAUACCGGAUAAUGUCUUCGGACCAAAGAUUUAUCGCCUUUGGAUGGGCCCGCGUUGGAUUAGCUAGUUGGUAGGGUAAAAGCCUACCAAGGCGACGAUCCAUAGCUGGUCUGAGAGGAUGAUCAGCCACACUGAGACUGAGACACGGCCCAGACUCCUACGGGAGGCAGCAGUGGGGAAUAUUGGACAAUGGGCGAAAGCCUGAUCCAGCAAUGCCGCGUGAGUGAUGAAGGCCUGAGGGAUGUAAAGCUCUUUUACCCGGGAUGAUAAUGACAGUACCGGGAGAAUAAGCUCCGGCUAACUCCGUG